UCAGGUUGCAUUGGAAUAUAGAGCCAGAUUGUCAGCUGCGAUAAACUAGCAUAAUUACAUUGAAGGCAAGGAAACUUCAGGUUUACACCAGCCGAGGAUCUUGCUGAUAGUUUUACCCCCUUGAUCUUGAAAAGCUGGAUGUCACAUGUCAACAACGUUGAGCAAAGGAGUGGGGAAAAGAGAGGUGUGUUUUUAAGCAGGCCAAUGGAAUGAAAUGAAUUAAGAACAUCAGUGAAGCUCACCUCUUCCCAAAAGGGGAGCUGUGGCUGCAUAAGCUUCUUCCCAGCUGCUCUGCCAAUGGACCUAAAAGAACUAGCGGUGAGAUUUUCAGGCUUCAUGUUGCUUCAGUCAAUUGUGACAAGUUUUUUUCCUUUUGUGAUAUAGAUCCCUAUCUACUAGGAAUUGAACCAGCGGUACCAACUUUUUUCACACAGGCCACUGAACAGCCAUUGGAUGUCAAGUAAGUCUAUUCCCUAUAAACCUGACUUGGAUUAAUACCAGUGACUGACAGAUCAAAAGCUCCAUAGCCUGUUACCAAUCUCACAAGUGUCUUAUUUCUCUACAGUUAUCCCCUUUUUCAGUCUUUUCAAUAUGACCAUUAAUUACCUCCUGCUGCAUCGUGUGACUUUAUGUGGUUAGAAUUUCUCUCAUCUGUGAAUUUCACACCGUACAUUUAAAGGCACUGCUGGGUCUGUUGAAGGCAUGUGAGUUGAAUGCUAGAAUGUACGUUGUUUAAAGAAAAUGAGCCGUAUGAUAUAUGGGCAGUAGCAUAUUGAAAAAUAUCAUAAAGCCAAGUAUCAUGGACAGUAUGCUGUCCACUGUCCAUGUGCAGAGCUGGUUAGAAAACAGAUUUCCAUCCCAGGAAAAAAAUUGAGAUUUUGAAAAAAUGUUCAUCACAAAUCAGGAUGAAAAACCAAAAUUUACAUUUUUUUCAUUGAAACAAAAUUCUGAAAAUUUCUGUGUUUCAGGUCACUGGCAAAGUUUGGCUUCAGUACAUUCAAGAUAUUUUGUUUAUAUUGUAACUCUCUCUAUUUAAUUUUUUUAAGUUUUUUAAAUAUAAAAAUAAAAUUGCAAGAUUAAAAAGUCAUUUCAAAACAAAAAAUCAAAACUCUCCAUUCUGAAAAUGUUGAAAUGGGGCGUUUCAACAUUUUGGAAAUGUUCUUUCCCCCAAUUCUUUUUCCUAGUUUGUUGUUGUUGAAAUCAAUACAAUUUCAUAAAAAGUUUUGGUUGUGUGGAAAUGACAUUUUUUGACAGAAAAUUGACAGAUUUUUUGACCACUUUUAUCCAUGUGUACAGUACUGAGGUAAAUGCCACCCAUGUGUCAUUGUGGAACGCUAUCAGUUGUGUCUCUGUUUACUACGGAUGCGCUUCAUCAUCUCAAUCUUAUCUCCAUACACAGGACACUAAGGAUUUUUUGGAAGAGUUACUCUCCUAAAUGAAAUAAAACUGCUGCCCAGCGGGACUCAUCCAUCAUUUAACUCAUGAUUUUACAUCACUGGAAUGCAGAAAAGCAUCUACAAUGAAAAACAAACAAACCCUGUAAACAAUUAAUCUAUUUCACUGAAGGCCAUCAAGUUCUGCCAAAGAUUAGUUUGGACAAUCCAUAAUGCACUUCUGCAGAUCUCAAAGCUUGUUCGAUUUCCAUAGUUCAAAUUUUUAAAGUGACCUUUCUCUGAGUGGGUCCUUUUUAGUAGGAAAUGAAGUUCAUUUCUGAGUGCAGUCACAAAAGUAACAUUUUCUGUGUUUUUGCAAAAGUGGACCCUUUUGAAGCUCUUAAUGACAUGGAAGACAUGCAAAAUGUCAAGUACUUUUUGCGACUCUUUCAUGCCCCUCUAGUUAAAACUGUGUUGGGCUCCAACGUUGCAGGAUGUAUUGCCAUUGACCCAGCAUCUGCAGAAUCCUGCAACACAUGUCCAGUGACUGCAGUUAGAUGAGUCAUAUGUAGCACGGGCCAAGUUUCAUCCCAGAAGGAAAAAAAAACAGCUACAGCACAGGAACAAACCCCUGAAAAUAACAGGAAUUGGUUCUGUAUUUGGGCUAUAAAAAUAGGUUAGAACAGCCUGGCUAUUUCCUUCUUUUUUAAAUUUAAGUGGUAUUACUCUGCUAACCACUUUCCAUUUUUGUUCCUUUUUACCAUGACAUAAGGACACAAAAUAUUUUAGAAACCAGAAAAGGGCCAUUUGCACUAGUAUGGCCUGAUGCUAAUUUCUGUCCAUUAUCUGAACUGACCCUCAUUCCAGAGAUGAACUGUCUAUUUCUUAACAUAGGCCUCCCACAAAACUUCCCAUCCCCUUUAAUCUAUGAUAAACCCCAUAGGGGUUGCGUGAUCUCAGAGAGGAGGAUGGAAGGACUGGAGGAAAGCUAACUUUUGUCCCUCCUCCUGCUCCACUCUGAUUGACAUUGUAUAACAAAAGAUCCUCCUGGUAGGGAUUGUUGGUACAAUUUUCAGUAUCUUCUGAGUCACUUAGGAGAUACUGAAGUCACAUUUUCCAAAAGCACCUAGGCAUCCAAGCAUCAUUAAAAGUCAAUAGGGCAUAGGCUACUAAGGGUCAAAUUUUUAAACGUAUUUAGGCAACUAAAGAUGAUGUUAGGUGCCUAGUGAGAUUUUCAAAAGUGAUGAGCCUAAAUCUCAUUGAAAUAAAUGGGAGUUAGGUGCCUAGAUGCUUUUGAAAAUCUCCCUAGGCAUUUAUCUGAAUCUUUAGGUGACCAAAUACCAUUAAAAAUCUGAUCCUUGGUGCCUAAAUCACUUUUGAAAAUGGGAUUCCUAAAUAGAGCGGGGAGACAUUUUUCAGAUGAAUCUUUUUUUCACCGAAAAAUGCAGAUUUGUGUCGACUGAAAUAGUUCACAAAUUCAUGUCAAAUUCACCAAAUUGUUGCAGUCAGAAAAAUAAAUUCAAAUUCAGAAGAAAUCAAAACAUUUCUUUUACAUCUGUUCAAAAUGAAACUUUUUGACUUUUCAAUUUGAAACAAUUUUUUAAAAAAUUUAGUUCAUUUUUUCCCAAAGGUUAAAAAACCACAAAACUGAUAUGAAAUGUUUUCUUUUUGGACAAAUAAAACGUUUUUGGGUUUUUUUUACAUGAAAUUAAACUUAUUUGACUUUUUCAGCUCACUGAAACAUUUACAAAAAUAUUUUGAAUUGUUCCAAAACUAUUUUUGUUUUCAAGUUUUGGGUCAGCCACUGAACCGAAAAAUUGGUUAUUCGCACAGCUUUUCUCGUAAGCCAUGUGUCUGUAUUUAGAUAUAAAUAUCAACAUGUGAAGUUGCAACUCCAUGCACACCCAUGGCAGCAUUAUACACAAAAGUUCAGUAACAAUGACAGAUGAGGACAAUGGACAGACAGUGUAAAUAGGCUCUUGGGGACCACAUUGAUUGAAACAGCUGAGGGUCAAGAUAACAGAUAUUUAAUUUGAUGUAUUUAAAGCUUUUCAGCAGGGAGUAGGACUCCUGUUGCUGAAGAGAUAGGGUGGGGUACAUUAUAGCCUUUCCCUCUUGCAGACCUCCAUAGCUCACACAAGGAUGAUACAACUUUUCAAAUAACAAAGGUAUUUCCUGAGAGAGCCCAGCCACAAGACUAUGUCUGCACUAGGGAUUUGCCCCAGUUUCAGUCAUCAGGAGUCCAGCCGCCAGAGCUGGCUCAAGGUUUCUUGCCGCCCCAAGUGCAAAAAAAAAAAAAAAAAAAAAGCCGGAGUGCCACUGAAGCAAAAAAAAAAAAAGGCCAGAGUGCCGCCCCUUGAAAAUUGCCACCCUAAGCACGUGCUUGGUUUGCUGGUGCCUAGAGCCGACCCUGCCACCCGCUGAUGUUGUGGCCCAAUGCAAACCCCUAGAGUAGAUGGGAUUGUUAAACUGCAAUCUGCACUUUUGCAAUUUAUUCUGGCUAUGCAGCUCUGUUUUCCUCUGUUUGGGUGUGGUUUAGUGGGUAUGGCUGGUGACGAGAGCUAGAGAGAAUCUCAAAACACAUACAGUAACAUAGUGAGGAUUAUUUUAUAGAGGAGUAAACAAAUCUCCUUUUUCCCCUUCCCUUAACAGUAAGUUGGUAAAGCCAGUGAAUUUUAAUAGAGCCCUAAAAAAAAAGUGUCUGCUUGUUUCCUAGGUACACCACAUUACCCACAGCAAGUCUUACCACUCCACGAGAAAGUUUGUGCAAGUCCUAAAAUAAUUUCAUCCCACUGGCCCACAAAUAUUCCCCUUUGGUAAACCUUAUAUAGAGUAAUUAUUGUUUAACAUGGCACCAUAGCUAGGUCAGGGUUUAUUUUGGGUUCUGUGUUAUAAAAAGCCAUUUGUAAAAAAAUUACUAUAUUUUCCAGUCUGUCAUUUUGAACAAACGGGUCUAGAAACUUGUUAGUUGACUUUGUUGUUGUUUGUUUUGCUUUAAGAGUCCGCGUUCAUCAAAGUGCUGGUAUCAGUACCAAAGCCAUCUAGUCAUCGCAGCCCGGCGUAUUUAAACGUGUCUGCACUUUAAUUAUAGAAAUGUCACCAGUAGGUAGCCAGUUGUUGUGGGACUAUCGACCUAUGUUAGUGGGACACACAUGUUUGGAAGAAGGGGUGAAACUUUAACAACUACAAAUGUAAGAAACUGAAUAUCAUUGGCAGGUAACAGGUGUGACCUUUGAGGAGGAAGUUAAGCUAAGAAUCUGACCUGCUUCCCUUUUCACUGUUUUCCAAAUGGCACUUAGCAUUUUAAAUGCUCAAAGCGCAGCAUAGCUGUUAGGCAACUAAUUCCCACAACUGCUUUGUAAGGUAGGUAAAUGUAUUAGUCCUGUUUUUCAAAUGGAGAAACUGAGGCAGAAAGAGGUAAGUGAAUUGCCCCAGGCUACAUGGGUGAGUUAGCUUGGAUUACAACAAAGGCGCUUCUGGCUCCUUUCCUUAUGCUUAUUUCUCCAGACCAUGCUGCUUUGGAUAGCAAAGUUCUUUCUAAUUUUAAUAACUGGUUGUACAAACUACCAUGUGUCUGUAUAACAAUUGCUUUGCCCAUUUCUGAAAUGCAGCUACCUCGCGGGUGGGAAACACAGCUGCUGUUUAAUGGUGCGUAGCAAUACUUUGCAAUAUUUUAGAACAGGAUGGGAAGAAUGUUGCAUUUAGUUAUGUAAUUACUCAAGUUGGAACUUGGCCAAGACCUCAAAAUUAACACCACAUACUCUUACAAAGAUGGUCAUAGCAUCUUUAAUGAUCACAAAGGAGGCAAGUGUUAUCUAGGAGUUAGAGCAAGGAUCUCUGAGUUAGGACUCAGAUCCAGUUCUUAAUUUUCCCAGUGUCUCAUUGCAUGACUCAGAGGAAUUCCUCUCGCCUUUCUGUGCCUCAGUUUUACUCAUAAAAUGGAGUUAGUAAUACUCAUUUACUUUGAGUGGGGCAGGUUAGGGGCUAAAUUAAUGUUUGUAAAACCUUUAAUGACCGAAAGCAACAAGUGUAACAGUAUUAUUACAAAUGGUGUGGAUCUUGGCUUUAUUAAUGGUAAGUAGUACUAGUGCAAAGAAGGCUGGGACCAAAUGGAGGAACCAAAUGUAGAUAGAGUUCAUUGUUAUCUGUGGGGGAAAUGAUCCAAGGCACACAUCGCAGUUGUGUCCACACACACAAAAUGAUAAGUUCUUUGCUCCAGAGAAUGUACAGUCUGAGAUACAUAAAUAAACAGCAGAUCGAUAUGUUUGCUGGACAGGUAGAUAGUUGUAUUGGGGAGUUUUUCUAAGUUCUAAGGUGCUGUUUUCUCUUCAGUUUGUGGGACAUUUAAUUGUGUAACUCCUCAUUAACUUUUAAGAGGAGCUACCAUUUUAAGAAGAUUUUAAAGGUUUUUACCCACACGAAUAUGCUCCAAGGAGCCUCUGAGUUUCCAGAUUAUGGAUUAAGGUGGGAGUUGGUUGUUUUGUUUCAGGAAGGGUGAAGUGGUUGGAACAAAAUAGGAACCAGAUCAAACUUCCAUCUAAAAUUUAAACCAAACUUGUCUGUGAGGCUUUUCUCACAAAGGCGGCUGAAUUUUUUGUCAUUGACCAAGAAUACCAAAAGAAAAGCCUUUGCACAUGGUACUUCAGGCAUCACGGGAAGCAGGUUGUGUCAUGAUAUACGGAAUCAUAGAAAACAAAGACAGAUACAGAUUACCACACAGCUUGAAUUCUAAACUUUGCCUCCUUUGUUUAUCACAGACCACACCCUGCAUGAAACUCUGUACAGCCCAUAGAGACAUCUAGUGGCUGAAUAAUACCCUGCAAGGGAAGAGAUAGUAGAAGAAGCUGAAGUUGAAGAGAGCUGCUUCUCCUGGUGUUUCCAGGCUGAAGGGAAGGGAUGUUUUGUUUCCUUUUCUAUAUUUUCUGCCAUGUCAUGCCCCAAUCCAAGUCUCCUCUGCAUGCAUUCUGUGCCAUCUUCCCUCUGAAUCUUGAUCUGCAAAGGAAUGAGGAGAAAACAGUUUUUCAUGCUGAUCUAUUUUUGUUCAUGUAGAUCACUACUGUUCAGACUUGGAUGUGAAGAGAGGCAAAUUCAAGACCACUCUGUCUUCCUUUGUUUGAGGAAUGCAGCUACCGCACUAGCACAGGACUGGCCUGGGGAACACAGCAGAAAACAAUU